AGGCAGCAGUGGGGAAUAUUGGACAAUGGGCGAAAGCCUGAUCCAGCCAUGCCGCGUGUGUGAAGAAGGCCUUUUGGUUGUAAAGCACUUUAAGCGAGGAGGAGGCUACUUGGAUUAAUACUCUAGGAUAGUGGACGUUACUCGCAGAAUAAGCACCGGCUAACUCUGUGCCAGCAGCCGCGGUAACACAGAGGGUGCGAGCGUUAAUCGGAUUUACUGGGCGUAAAGCGUGCGUAGGCGGCUUUUUAAGUCGGAUGUGAAAUCCCCUGAGCUUAACUUAGGAAUUGCAUUCGAUACUGGGAAGCUAGAGUAUGGGAGAGGAUGGUAGAAUUCCAGGUGUAGCGGUGAAAUGCGUAGAGAUCUGGAGGAAUACCGAUGGCGAAGGCAGCCAUCUGGCCUAAUACUGACGCUGAGGUACGAAAGCAUGGGGAGCAAACAGGAUUAGAUACCCUGGUAGUCCAUGCCGUAAACGAUGUCUACUAGCCGUUGGGGCCUUUGAGGCUUUAGUGGCGCAGCUAACGCGAUAAGUAGACCGCCUGGGGAGUACGGUCGCAAGACUAAAACUCAAAUGAAUUGACGGGGG
rnacentral:rRNA from 1 species